rnacentral:rRNA from 1 species
GAUGAACGCUGGCGGCGUGCUUAACACAUGCAAGUCGAACGGAAUGGCCAUGCUUUUGUCUCGUGUUCGAGUGGGGAGAGGGGGAGUAACACGCGAGUAACCUGUCCUUCUAUUUGGGAGAAAUCCACGAAACAGCGCAUCUUACCCGGAAUGAACUCCUGCUCAAUGGGGGGUGCUAGCCAGUUUCGGCGGUUCGGGAUGGAAUAGCGGCCUACCAGCUUGUUGGUCUGGUUGUGGCUCACCAAGCUUAUGACUGGUAGUCGGCCUUAGAGGGUUACCGGGCACCUUGGGCCUGAGAUACGGACCAGACGGCAACGGGAGGCAGCAGUGGGAAAUAUUGCACAAUGGGGGGAAGCCUGAUGCAGAAAUGCCGCGUGCGUGAUGCCGGCCUUCGGGUUAUAAACCGAUUUCGACUGUGACGAAGCGUGAGUGACGGUAAUUGGUAAAGAAGCAACGGCUAACUACGUG